rnacentral:lncRNA from 1 species
AGACGGCAGCCGACUCUCCCGAGACACAGGGCCGAGAAGAACCGUCGGCAAACGCACCAGACGGGCGGAAAAAAAGAGCAGGAUGAAGGGAGGAAGAUAUAGCCAGCCAGAGAAGGGAGAAGAGGAGAAACAUCUGGAAAAUAUCAGUGUUGCAGAGCCUCCCGGAAACUGACCUCGCCACCGAAAGGGUGAAUGGGGUCAAAAUGGAAACAGCAUGAGAGGGGCCACAGAAGGGAUUCACCAGGAAGAAGAGGAAAGGUGGGGCUGAGGUGGCCAGGACAGCACGACAUCACAUCUGACCAAGGCAUCCUCAGCCUUCCUUCAGAAAAGCAGCAGAAGGAAAAAGCUGGUACCAUUCUAAGCUUCAUCAGUGGAGAGUACUGUAGAGACAUUACAGAAAGAAGCAGUUUUCCUUCCUGGUUCCGGUACACUCUUUCUGCAGGCUGCUGCAAACACGCAUGGCUCCUAGAGUAUCCACACCUUCUUCAGCAACUGGCUCCUGCUGAACAUGAUGGUCAGCACCUCCCAGCCUCCAGCAGCUUCCACUGGCAUCCCUCUCGGUUGAUUUUGCAGCAGAAUGCAUCCAGUGAAAGACCUCCACAUGAAUAGCUUUCCUUAGCAUCUUAGAGGGUAGAUUUCUAGCAAGUUCUGCCAGCAUAGCACCCCAGUGACUUCUCUGCCAGCCCAGGAGCCACAGCAGGCCAUGACCUCUCCAGCAAGGUCUGGAGCAGAGAGAAGCAUGUGUUUGGGUGCUCUAUCAGACCCACGGCCCACGGGUAGGGGCUGCUCCUUAUAUCUGCUAUUCCUCUGUUAUUUAAAGUUCUCUUUACUUCCUGUUAGCUAGUCCCCAUUAUAGUGAACUACUUCUCUUUUUCUUAACAGUUUUCUUUUGUAUUUUUUAAAAAUUGUGGCAAAAUACAUAUAGUAUAAAAUUUACCAUCUUAAUAAUUUUAAAUAUACAGUUCAGGAGAAUUAAGUACAUUCACAUUGUUGUACAAUCAUCACCACUAUCCAUCUCUAGAACUUUUUUCAUCUUGCAAAACUGAAACUCUGUACCCACUGAAGACUAAUUCGCCAUUCUCUGCUCCUGUCAGCCCCUGGCAACCACCAUUCUACUUUUUGUCUCUAUAAAUUUGACUACUCCAGGUAACUUACAUUCAGUGGAAUUAAAGAGUAUUUGUCUUUUUGUGAUGGCUUAUCUCACUUAACAUCCUCAAGAUUCAUCCACAUGGUAGCAGGUCAGACUUUCCUUCCUUUCUUCCUUUUUAAGGCUGGGUGAUAUUCCAUUGUAUGUGUAUAUCACAUUUUGUUUAUACAUCCUUCUGUAGAUGGAUACCUGGAUUGCUACCACCUUUUGGGUUUUGGUUUACAAAUAUCUCUUUGAGAUGCCUUUUCAAUUCUUUUGAGUAUAUACCCAGAAGUAAAAUUGCUAAAUCAUAUGGUAAUUCUAUUUUUCAUUUUUAAAGGAACUGUCAUAUUGUUUUCCUAGCUAAUACUUGUUUAUUUUAAACUUUCCUUUAAAUUACUGUGUACUUUAUAUUCUCAUUAGACCCUGACCAAUAUAUGCAAUGCCCAACAGGUACAUACAUUCCAUUAAGAAAUGAAGAGUAACGUAAAAACAUUAUUUUUAAAUAUUUCAAUAUAUAUGUAUUAUUUUGUACAACUACAAAGUUAUCAAUACAGAAAUACUAAGUUGUUUGGAACUAAGUACUUAACAAAUGAAACUGCUAAGUAUUUCUUUUGUCCUAGAAAUGGCAUGAAAAAAAUUACUGAGACCACUAAGGGUGCAUGAGCCAAGAACAUUUGGAAGGCUCUGCUCUAGCCUACAUGUUUCCAGCUGCCAUUAGGACCUGUCUGCUUGAAUGGUUCCUUAGGCUCGCCCUAUCUAGGGGUAUCCCUGAAGGCACAGAUGGAGCCUUAAUAUUAACCGUACUUAAUAUUAUAUUUCUUUAUAAAUUUUUCUCACUUAGGCACUGGGGGCUACAAACCUUACAAUUAUCUUUGACUUAUGCUGCUCUGUCUCCCCUUAUUUCUAAUCUCACAUCAAAAUGUUUCCUGGAUUGGCCUUUUUUUCUCUCCAUUCCUGCAGCAGUCAGUAAAGCCAUCAUCUCUAGUUAGCGUUGCCUAACAGAUUUUAAGCUAGUUUCCCUUAAACAAGACAGUGGGUUGAAAAUUCAAAUGCUCACUGAGGCUAGAAAUAUGUUAAUUCAUACCUGCCACACAAGAAUUGGCUGCCUCAGUCCUUGCACCCAUGAAGGCAACACCAAUAGGACAGGCUGUGGGUGAGGCCCCAUUCCCAGGAUGCCAGCUAUUACAGUGUGGAUGUUUGUCCCUUCCAAGCCUCAUGUUGAAAUGUGAUGGAGGUGGGGCCUGAUAGGAGGUGUUUGGGUCAUGGAGGUGGAUCCUUAAUGAAUGGCUUGGUGCCCUCCCCAUGGUAACGAGUGAGUCCUUGCUCUAUGAGUUCAUGCGAGAGCUGGUUCUUUAAAAGAGCCUGGUACCUCCUCCCCUCUCUCUUGCU